rnacentral:rRNA from 1 species
AACGAACGCUGGCGGCAGGCCUAACACAUGCAAGUCGAACGCCCUAGCAAUAGGGAGUGGCGCACGGGUGAGUAACGCGUGGGAACGUGCCCUUCAGUAGGGAACAACACCGGGAAACUGGUGCUAAUACCCUAUAAUGUCUCCGGACCAAAGAUUUAUCGCUGAAGGAUCGGCCCGCGUUGGAUUAGCUAGUUGGUGGGGUAAUGGCCUACCAAGGCUACGAUCCAUAGCUGGUCUGAGAGGAUGAUCAGCCACACUGGAACUGAGACACGGUCCAGACUCCUACGGGAGGCAGCAGUGAGGAAUAUUGGACAAUGGGGGAAACCCUGAUCCAGCCAUGCCGCGUGAAUGAAGAAGGCCUUAGGGUUGUAAAGUUCUUUUAGGGGUGAAGAUAAUGACGGUAGCCCCAGAAAAAGCUCCGGCUAACUCCGUGCCAGCCGCCGCAGUAA